rnacentral:lncRNA from 1 species
UGAACUAUGGCUGUGGCUCGAUAACAUUCUGCAAGCAGCUUACAAGUCAUAAAAUAAAGGCUACAUUACCUCGGAGUGAGUUGUAAUCCUAUUUCUUCAACAAUAGUUUCAUAUUUCUUACGAUUUUGGUGUUGUAUAGACGUUUUGUAGCCUUGUUGGUCGUUUGUUUUGGCCAUACAAACUACGACAAUAAUACAAAGUCAAAGGUUUCAUUUUCUCAGAAGUAUUUCUUUCAACUUUCAAGCUCAGUUUUAUAGAUAUUAUUUUCGAAAAAAGCCGUAAUAUUCACGAAAAAAAGCUGCCAUAGCCGACAGCAAAAAAAAAGUUGUCAAUUUUCCCGCGUUUUUCCCCGUUUCCUAGGAUACGAGGCCUCAUCACGAUUUAUGAAUAAGGUCUAUGGUUUUGCCAUAUAGUUGGUAAAUGUAACACAAUAUACCGAAAAAUUCCGGUAUAUCGGAAAUUUCGGUAUAUCGGUACGGUAUGGCUAAAUAUCCGAUAUUGAUAUACCGAUAUUGAUUUAAUACCGAUAUUUUUGGUAUAUCGGUAUACCGAACAGUCCUACAGUGAACUAGACUUUUGUGGACCGGCACGUGAUACGGUUUUGACCAAUGCAAACGGAAAAAUUGAACUUUGACACUAACCGCAUAACAAUAUUUAAAUUAAUAUUAGUUAUGUUGGAGUAUAUAUUUAAAAAUUUGGAGUGCAUUCUGAUAUCAGUAUUGUAAUGGCGGGAACAUUAUGCUGCCAUGCGUGUUAUAUUGUUGCGCCGAUCUAUGUGUUGUCGAGAUCUAGAUCUUGUGUCUGUCCAUAUUUAAGAUGUCGUAAUUCUGGGGGAACACCGGGGGGAGUGCGAGAAAAAUAUUGAAUUGCGUACACAUAUUAAAUUUGCAAGCUUUUUAUUCUGGAUCUGACUUGAUCAUAGAUAUCUAAUUAUAUACACUAGAUAGUGCAUCUAAUUAUUCUGCAAUUCAAAAAUUGAAGCCGUGAUUGCAGACUCAGGUCGUUCCCAUGAAAUGAGAAGAUUCGCAUAUUUUCUAUUUCUUAAAAACGGAACUUAAACAUGAAGUUAACCCUAUGCCAAAUACGUUUUUAAAGUAUUCAAAUGAUGAAAGUUAUUGUUGUUUUUAAGCGUUUAUUAGCAAGUGGGAACGACCAACAUGGCCGCCAUCUAUUCAAAUGGGGGUAACCGCUGGAAUAUUCUUGGCUUCAAUUUUACUAAAAGAGAUGCGCUAUCUAGUGUAUAUAAGAUAUCUAUGGACUUAAUGCAAAAUAGACGAACACUUCCCGAAGAAACCAAGUAACUAUGGCUUUGUUUAGUUGUGUUAAUAACCAUCAAGGCGAUGAACUGUUUAGCGUUCAUCCUAGAGGCAAGAGAUGUGCUUUAACUGAUUAUGAAUUUAUUGAUAUGUGAAAGCCAGCCAAAACCAUGAGUAUAUAUAGUGUUCAGUUUGUAGAUGUUUAUAGUUUGAAAAUAAACGCGGAAUGUUGUUUAAUCAGGCUUACUGUAAUAAGAUUCCUAGAGCAACCCAAUGUGGAUUGUUGUCUGCAGCACGGUCUGCACAUAUUGACUUUUAUAAUAUAACACCAGCUAGCAAUUUAAUACAUGUAAUAUAGUAUGUCAACUGACUUUUGUUUAAGACAUGACCAUACCUAAUUUUAAGAAUU